rnacentral:rRNA from 1 species
CCUACGGGUGGCAGCAGUGAGGAAUAUUGGUCAAUGGACGAGAGCCUGAACCAGCCAAGUAGCGUGCAGGAUGACUGCCCUAUGGGUUGUAAACUGCUUUUGUACGGGGAUAAAACGCUCCACGUGUGGGGUUUUGUAUGUACCGUAUGAAUAAGGAUCGGCUAACUCCGUGCCAGCAGCCGCGGUAAUACGGAGGAUCCGAGCGUUAUCCGGAUUUCUUGGGUUUAAAGGGAGCGUAGGUUGUUUGUUAAGUGAGUUGUGAAAUUUCGCGGCUGAACCUGCAGACUGCAGUUGACACUGGCAGUCUUGAGAUCAGAAGAGGUAGGCGGAAUUCGUGGUGUAGCGGUGAAAUGCAUAGAUAUCACGCAGAACACCGAUUGCGAAGGCAGUUUGCUGGGCUGCAACUGACACUGAGGCUCGAAAGUGUGGGUAUCAAACAGGAUUAGAUACCCCAGUAGUC